UGACUGGAGAGAUGUGGCUCCGUUCACUGCAGAUCUGUGACUAUCUCACAUGUCCUUCCUGCCUCCAUCCCCAGCACUAAUGAACCAAGCCCCUUUGAUUGCUGAUUUUACGCUUUCUGGACCAAUUGUGGGCCCCUAUAGGCGUGGUUCUGACAGCUCCGGCCAGACUCUGGGAGAGGAGGGAGAACGGAGGGGAGGGGGGAAGGCAAGAAGGUGUCGGAAGCAUUAGCAGUAAGAAAACAUGUCAACAGGAUAAAAUAUUAACCAAUGACAGGAAAGAUCGGAAAAAUCCCACCCCCAUUUCCAAGCCAAACACCGGUUCAGCCUUCAGUUCUUGGCCAGCGGAGGCAUCACCUCUCUCGGCUUGCUUUUUUUUAUGUCGCCUCCAAAGAAAGCAACCUGUCUACUGUCUUAAAUACUUACCUUUACAGAGAGGAACAGCUCAGGCUCUGAAGCUUCAGCGCUGGCUCUCAGAACAGACCCUAACAGUGGCAGCAGUACUGCUGCUGCUGCUGCUCCGCUCUCUCACGGCUUAAAGCUGCAGAUUUGUAAUGAUUCCAACUCCUCGGCUGCUCUCAGGCUACGGCCGGAUUUGGCUCCGACCAUGUAGCUGUGAGUGCAGCCCAUUCAGACUCACGCAACCCCGCCGGAUUCCCCCCCAAUGCGGGAGCCGCGCGUCUCUCCGAGUUUCUGCAAAAGUGUCUGACCCGUGAAGGCAGCAGCGGCAGCAGCAGCAGCAGCCGCAGCACCGAGGCCAAAGACUAGGGAAAUAAGACAUAGAACUCAGAGACUGCGCGCGUACAGGCAAAACAGAGGAAACCGUGAAUGAUGAUGAAUGAAUUUUGAGAGAAAAGCGUGGAGAAGAAAAAUCGGGAGCACAGUCUGUGAUCCAGAGAGAAGCAGCGAGGAGGGAUUUACCAUUUCUGUUCCGAGACUCCAGCAGGAUCUGGAUCAUCGGCCUCAUCAACACCAGGCUGCCACUGCUGCAACAAUGGAAACUCAGUAUCGUUUUCAUUAAAGCCUGUGACCUGAUGUGUGUAAGAGCCUCGCUAAUAAAACAAAAUUUAUUCAUGGUGUUCAUUUUCACAUUGUAAUGUCGGAUAGUUUUAAUAAUCCGCUGAAAAUGGAAUAAAAGUAGAAAAAUCACAAACUGUUUUUUUAUCCUUUUCUUCUUCUCCAUCCACAAACCUCUGUCAGCUGGACUUCAUUUCUCCUUCAUUCAUAAGGGAAUCUGCAAACACAGACUUAAACUGCCACAUCUGGACACUGACAUUUGUACGUGUUCACUGUGUUCCACAGCUCUCACACUAAUGUAUUUUAAAUCGAACAGACUGUAAACAUGGACUGACUCUCUCAUGAAAAGCAUGUCUUUGGCCUAUUUGCCCAUUUAAUAGGUUGUCAAAACCAUAUUUAAAAAAAACAUUAGACACGUAUCAUUUUAUCCGAGCAGGAUUUUUAUGACUAUUAGCCCACGAUCAUAUUCGAGGGCUUAAAUAAAACACAUAAGAAAUCAGCCAUUGCUAAUGUAAUUCAUUACGAGCUACUUCAAAGGCUUGUGUUUUACUGCAUCAGAGAAAAUGUCGUCCAUGGUCCCAGCGCUGAUUAGAAGAGAAACAAACAUGUCUACUUGUUUCUCCUGUGGCUCAGAACAAAGAGCCGAGGAUGCUCAUAAAAAAGCUCUUUAACAACAUUUAACUGCCUGUUAAAAAUAUGGUACUAAUUAACAGGGAGACUCUGUGCUGAUGGUCACUGCUGUGGUUGAAUUACACGGAGAGACACAAUGAGAAGGAGAGUAACAGGGAGGACAGAACCAUUUCCUUCACGUUUAUUGUGUUUUUACUGUCAUGAAUGUGGGAGAAAAAAAAAAGUAUUAGUGUCCGUAUUUCACAACAAAGUAAAAACAAAUAGAUCUUUUCCCUUAUUUGGUGACGGGGCAAAACCAUUGAAGCCAGUCCAGCAGCAAUCACAGCAGCCUGGUAAUCAUUUUAUCUGUUAAUUUACUGAUUUAUCUGUUGCUCGUUUCUUCCAUAAAAAUGUCAUGAAAUUGUCAAAAUAGUCACUAAUUGUUAUUAAAUUAUUAAAAUUAUGAAUUUUACUGUAUACUAUUGAAAAUAAUGACAUCACUGAGGUACAGAAAUUAUAUAUAUAUAAAAAAUCUGCUUUGAGAAAAUGGCAGAAGAGAACUCUUAAUAAAUGCAGUGGUUUCCAAAGUGUGGGGCAGGCCCCCCCGGGGAUAAUGAGCUAUCGCAGAGGGCACCUAGCAUGACAAAUAUAUGUUAAUUUGAAUAUUUUCUUAAUUUGUCUCAGUGGGGAAACUGCACUUGUUCUCACAUGUUCAAUCAGAGAAGCAGUUUGUAGGAAUUUCAAUGGUUAAAAAAAUGUUUUUUGAAGUUUUGAAGCGACAGGUAGGAAGUUGAUUAUAGU